CAGUCGCCACGGUAAUACGGAGGGAGCUAGCGUUGUUCGGAAUUACUGGGCGUAAAGCGCGCGUAGGCGGUUACUCAAGUCAGAGGUGAAAGCCCGGGGCUCAACCCCGGAACUGCCUUUGAAACUAGGUGACUAGAAUCUUGGAGAGGUCAGUGGAAUUCCGAGUGUAGAGGUGAAAUUCGUAGAUAUUCGGAAGAACACCAGUGGCGAAGGCGACUGACUGGACAAGUAUUGACGCUGAGGUGCGAGAGCGUGGGGAGCAAACAGGAUUAGAUACCCCUGUAGUCCCUGUCUCUUAUAC
rnacentral:rRNA from 1 species